rnacentral:rRNA from 1 species
CCUACGGGGGGCUGCAGUGGGGAAUAUUGGACAAUGGGCGAAAGCCUGAUCCAGCCAUGCCGCGUGUGUGAAGAAGGCCUUCGGGUUGUAAAGCACUUUCAGUGGGGAAGAAAGCCUUGGGGCUAAUACCCUCGAGGAAGGACAUCACCCACAGAAGAAGCACCGGCUAACUCCGUGCCAGCAGCCGCGGUAAUACGGAGGGUGCGAGCGUUAAUCGGAAUUACUGGGCAGUAAAGCGCGCGUAGGCGGUCUGAUAAGCCGGUUGUGAAAGCCCCGGGCUCAACCUGGGAGCGGCAUCCGGAAAUGUCAGGCUAGAGUGCAGGAGAGGAAGAGAGAAUCCCGGGUGUAGCGGCGAACAGCGGAGAGAUCGGGAGGAAUACGAGUGGCGAAGGCGGCCUUCUGGACUGACACUGACGCUGAGGUGAAAAAGCUUGUGUAGCACACAGGACUAGAUAGCCGGGUAGUC